rnacentral:rRNA from 1 species
AUUGAACGCUGGCGGCAGGCCUAACACAUGCAAGUCGAGCGGAUGAGAGGAGCUUGCUCUUCGAUUCAGCGGCGGACGGGUGAGUAAUGCCUAGGAAUCUGCCUAGUAGUGGGGGACAACGUUUCGAAAGGAACGCUAAUACCGCAUACGUCCUACGGGAGAAAGUGGGGGAGCUUCGGACCUCACGCUAUUAGAUGAGCCUAGGUCGGAUUAGCUAGUUGGUAGGGUAACGGCCUACCAAGGCGACGAUCCGUAACUGGUCUGAGAGGCUGAUAAGUCACACUGGAACUGAGACACGGUCCAGACUCCUACGGGAGGCAGCAGUGGGGAAUAUUGGACAAUGGGCGAAAGCCUGAUCCAGCCAUGCCGCGUGUGUGAAGAAGGCCCUCGGGUCGUAAAGCACUUUAAGUUGGGAGGAAGGGCUUACAGCGAAUACCUGUGAGUUUUGACGUUACCGACAGAAUAAGCACCGGCUAACUUCGUGCCAGCAGCCGCAGUAA